rnacentral:rRNA from 1 species
UUAAGCGACUAAGCGUACACGGUGGAUGCCCUGGCAGUCAGAGGCGAUGAAGGACGUGCUAAUCUGCGAUAAGCGUCGGUAAGGUGAUAUGAACCGUUAUAACCGGCGAUGUCCGAAUGGGGAAACCCAGUGUGUUUCGACACACUAUCAUUAACUGAAUCCAUAGGUUAAUGAGGCGAACCGGGGGAACUGAAACAUCUAAGUACCCCGAGGAAAAGAAAUCAACCGAGAUUCCCCCAGUAGCGGCGAGCGAACGGGGAGCAGCCCAGAGCCUGAAUCAGUGUGUGUGUUAGUGGAAGCGUCUGGAAAGGCGCGCGAUACAGGGUGACAGCCCCGUACACAAAAAUGCACAUACUGUGAGCUCGAUGAGUAGGGCGGGACACGUGGUAUCCUGUCUGAAUAUGGGGGGACCAUCCUCCAAGGCUAAAUACUCCUGACUGACCGAUAGUGAACCAGUACCGUGAGGGAAAGGCGAAAAGAACCCCGGCGAGGGGAGUGAAAAAGAACCUGAAACCGUGUACGUACAAGCAGUGGGAGCCCUGAUUUAUCAGGGUGACUGCGUACCUUUUGUAUAAUGGGUCAGCGACUUAUAUUCUGUAGCAAGGUUAACCGAAUAGGGGAGCCGGAGGGAAACCGAGUCUUAACUGGGCGUUAAGUUGCAGGGUAUAGACCCGAAACCCGGUGAUCUAGCCAUGGGCAGGUUGAAGGUUGGGUAACACUAACUGGAGGACCGAACCGACUAAUGUUGAAAAAUUAGCGGAUGACUUGUGGCUGGGGGUGAAAGGCCAAUCAAACCGGGAGAUAGCUGGUUCUCCCCGAAAGCUAUUUAGGUAGCGCCUCGUGAAUUCAUCUCCGGGGGUAGAGCACUGUUUCGGCAAGGGGGUCAUCCCGACUUACCAACCCGAUGCAAACUGCGAAUACCGGAGAAUGUUAUCACGGGAGACACACGGCGGGUGCUAACGUCCGUCGUGAAGAGGGAAACAACCCAGACCGCCAGCUAAGGUCCCAAAGUCAUGGUUAAGUGGGAAACGAUGUGGGAAGGCCCAGACAGCCAGGAUGUUGGCUUAGAAGCAGCCAUCAUUUAAAGAAAGCGUAAUAGCUCACUGGUCGAGUCGGCCUGCGCGGAAGAUGUAACGGGGCUAAACCAUGCACCGAAGCUGCGGCAGCGACACUGUGUGUUGUUGGGUAGGGGAGCGUUCUGUAAGCCUGUGAAGGUGUGCUGUGAGGCAUGCUGGAGGUAUCAGAAGUGCGAAUGCUGACAUAAGUAACGAUAAAGCGGGUGAAAAGCCCGCUCGCCGGAAGACCAAGGGUUCCUGUCCAACGUUAAUCGGGGCAGGGUGAGUCGACCCCUAAGGCGAGGCCGAAAGGCGUAGUCGAUGGGAAACAGGUUAAUAUUCCUGUACUUGGUGUUACUGCGAAGGGGGGACGGAGAAGGCUAUGUUGGCCGGGCGACGGUUGUCCCGGUUUAAGCGUGUAGGCUGGUUUUCCAGGCAAAUCCGGAAAAUCAAGGCUGAGGCGUGAUGACGAGGCACUACGGUGCUGAAGCAACAAAUGCCCUGCUUCCAGGAAAAGCCUCUAAGCAUCAGGUAACAUCAAAUCGUACCCCAAACCGACACAGGUGGUCAGGUAGAGAAUACCAAGGCGCUUGAGAGAACUCGGGUGAAGGAACUAGGCAAAAUGGUGCCGUAACUUCGGGAGAAGGCACGCUGAUACGUAGGUGAAGUCCCUCGCGGAUGGAGCUGAAAUCAGUCGAAGAUACCAGCUGGCUGCAACUGUUUAUUAAAAACACAGCACUGUGCAAACACGAAAGUGGACGUAUACGGUGUGACGCCUGCCCGGUGCCGGAAGGUUAAUUGAUGGGGUCAGCGCAAGCGAAGCUCUUGAUCGAAGCCCCGGUAAACGGCGGCCGUAACUAUAACGGUCCUAAGGUAGCGAAAUUCCUUGUCGGGUAAGUUCCGACCUGCACGAAUGGCGUAAUGAUGGCCAGGCUGUCUCCACCCGAGACUCAGUGAAAUUGAACUCGCUGUGAAGAUGCAGUGUACCCGCGGCAAGACGGAAAGACCCCGUGAACCUUUACUAUAGCUUGACACUGAACACUGGUCCUUGAUGUGUAGGAUAGGUGGGAGGCUUUGAAGUGUGGACGCCAGUCUGCAUGGAGCCGUCCUUGAAAUACCACCCUUUAAUGGCUGGUGUUCUAACGUUGGCCCCUUACCGGGGUUGCGGACAGUGUCUGGUGGGUAGUUUGACUGGGGCGGUCUCCUCCUAAAGAGUAACGGAGGAGCACGAAGGUUGGCUAAUCCUGGUCGGACAUCAGGAGGUUAGUGCAAUGGCAUAAGCCAGCUUGACUGCGAGCGUGACGGCGCGAGCAGGUGCGAAAGCAGGUCAUAGUGAUCCGGUGGUUCUGAAUGGAAGGGCCAUCGCUCAACGGAUAAAAGGUACUCCGGGGAUAACAGGCUGAUACCGCCCAAGAGUUCAUAUCGACGGCGGUGUUUGGCACCUCGAUGUCGGCUCAUCACAUCCUGGGGCUGAAGUAGGUCCCAAGGGUAUGGCUGUUCGCCAUUUAAAGUGGUACGCGAGCUGGGUUUAGAACGUCGUGAGACAGUUCGGUCCCUAUCUGCCGUGGGCGCUGGAGAACUGAGGGGGGCUGCUCCUAGUACGAGAGGACCGGAGUGGACGCAUCACUGGUGUUCGGGUUGUCAUGCCAAUGGCACUGCCCGGUAGCUAAAUGCGGAAGAGAUAAGUGCUGAAAGCAUCUAAGCACGAAACUUGCCCCGAGAUGAGUUCUCCCUGAGACCUGGAGUCUCCUGAAGGAACGUUGAAGACGACGACGUUGAUAGGCCGGGUGUGUAAGCGCAGCGAUGCGUUGAGCUAACCGGUACUAAUGAACCGUGAGGCUUAACCUU